UUUCAUGUUGUUAACGCCGGAGGACAGUGAGCCAAAGAGGAUUUUCUUGCGCACCUCCACUUCAUUGAGCAACUUCACAUUCAGAAAAAAUAUUUUUCUUUAUUACCUUGCUCAUUUUCCUUUUUUUCUGAUCAUGCAUAUAUCAGGAUCUCAGGUGCAGGGUUCAUUUAAAUGUGAUUUGCAUAUUCAAAUGUGGGCGUGGAAAGGGAGGAGUCGGCUACUUCAACAUGUGCGCUCAUUCCCUCGUUGAUUGGAAUGUACGAAGGAAAUGUGCUUGGAUUCAUGAGUACGCAGAGUUUCAUACAUCUGGAUAUUUUUGUGCUUAUGACGUUUUCUGGAUUUGAGCGUACGCCAUGUUUUAGUAGGAAAUCCACGCAAGUCUUUGUACAUGAGGCCCCAGGUCUGGCUCAAUGGCAGUGGUAUUGAUGCGCAAGAUGUCACGCAGUUGGCGAGAGAGAGCUGCUGGUGUCGACUGCGGCUCUCGGCGUCACACUGCAGCUCAAUGAGCUCCAGCUGCAACUGGUCAGGAGCAUCAUCAGGUUCCACGGCGAAAGCACAGCAGAGGCAUGCUGGGAUAGCUCGCCUAUCCAUCUCACUCGCCCAGUCUGCCUCCCCCGUUUGCCUCCAUACCAGUGUGACUAAUUAAAUAAAAGCGCCGUCCCCUCUGCUUCUUGAUGGCGCAUCAAGAGUGAGGGAAGGGAACCCGGGGGGUAGAACUUUCUUUGAUGCUGUACAAUGUAUAUCUUACACAAGUCUCGU